rnacentral:rRNA from 1 species
GGUCAAGCGAAUAAGCGCACACGGUGGAUG